UGGGGAAUAUUGCACAAUGGAGGGAACUCUGAUGCAGCGACGCCGCGUGAACGAAGAAGGUUUUCGGAUCGUAAAACUCUGUUGUUAGAGAAGAACAAGGAUGAGAGUAGAAUGUUCAUCCCUUGACGGUAUCUAACCAGAAAGCCACGGCUAACUACGUGCCAGCAGCCGCGGUAAUACGUAGGUGGCAAGCGUUGUCCGGAUUUAUUGGGCGUAAAGCGAGCGCAGGCGGUUUCUUAAGUCUGAUGUGAAAGCCCCCGGCUCAAGCGGGGAGGGUCAUUGGAAACUGGGAAACUUGAGUGCGGAAGAGGGGAGUGGAAUUCCAUGAGUAGCGGUGAAAUGCGUAGAUAUAUGGAGGAAAACCAGUGGCGAAUGCGGCUCUCUGGUCUGUAACUGACGCUGAGGCUCGAAAGCGUGGGGAGCAAACAGG
rnacentral:rRNA from 1 species